UCCACAUAAAGGAGUGAAAUCAGCCCUACACAGGCCAUGAGCAGGGAACAAUUCCUCUGUGCCAGUGGUGUGGUGGACCCUUCUGGUGUUACUCUCUGGAAUUCAGAAACUUGUUCAUGCUUUUUGUAUGCUGUUAAUCCUGUCCUGUGGUGGGGAUAUGAAGGGGGGAGAGAGAAGAGCUAAUUACCCUGACUUCAUCUCUGCCCAAUUUCCUCCCUGAUUAAGCAGGGCUGAUACAUGCUUUGUAUGGAGAUUAAAGCUACUUUGUCAUAGAAAAUUGUAAUUAGGGCUGAUCAUCUAGUUCUGCAGAGGCUCCAGUAAGCCUAGUGGUAGCUCCAAAGAGCCCAGUGGAUCUUUGAUUUGACAUGCAUGGCAGAACCCUGAAUAUAGUGAUAAAUCCAACAGGCCUUUUAGCUGGUUGAAAAGAAAAUGGCUAGAUGUUUAGCUGGUUAAAAAGCAAUGGCUAGAUGUUGGGCAUCUUAGUGUCAGAAGCUCUUUCGAGAAAGCAACACUUUUAAGUUAGUGUUUCUACCUUUCUGGCCUAUUUUCAUCAAUGAAUCUAAGGAAGAUGGAAGUGAGUGAGGAAUAAAAUCUGUAUGGACAGAAGUUAGCUUUUCCAAAGCAGUACCACAGACAAGGAAAAUUAAAAUAAUGAGACUUUAGAAAUAUGAUAUUUUUUCUUUCUUUUUUUUAAAUAGGAAACAUUAGAGUCAGUGUUGGGCUCACGCGUGAUGGCAGGUUGUGAUGGAGUGGAGCUGAACCCAGGCCCUGUACAUGCUGUGGGGCUGCAUUCCUCACUCCUUCAUCGCCUGGACUCUGGACGCUGUGACAGGCCUUUCAUGAAGGACCCUUCAAGUUGUGGUCUCCAGUCAGGUUGUGACCCAGGAGUAAGAUUCAUUUCUCAUUUAAACCUUCGCAGGUUAAGCUUAACUUGUCUCUCUCUCUAGAUAUGGGUCACAGCAGAACUCUGGAGUGCAGCACACACCAGGGAGUCCUGCAGAGGCAGGACUCUUGGGCUGACCUCUUUUGGGCUAGUGCUGGCUUUCCUCCUUGUUUGUUUCUUAGCAGCAGGUAUGAAGGGACUGGGUGAAUUGGUCUCUAACUUUGAGAUGAAUAAUUAGCACAGUUUGGCAGGUGCAGGCACCUGCACCUGCCAAAUGUAAUUUUUUAAAAGCUGCCUGGGGUCUUCUGUCCCUUAGUGUUUGGCUCCAUCACAGGUUGACUGUUAGCAAAGAUGAUGCCUGUAGUGUACACAAAGCUUGGGUAGAGAAGAAAGAUGACCUGCAAAACUGACAGCACUCACAAACUGCAGAUGCCUUUCCCACAUCUCCAGUGACUCAAAGCCAAGGUCUGGGCUCAAGUGUGUCAGCAGCACUCUUCACUGCCACGUACGGAGGGCGUGCCGCUUCUGUGUUCAGUGUGCUACUACAUAGGUAGCAGCAGUGUUCCUUUUGUUAUAGCACAGUGCUACUGACACCUGCGCACUCUUCUGCUGCGACCUCCUCGGUCCUUUUCAGAGCUGCUGCUUAGCAGGAUCCUGUUCCCCAGCAAGUGUGCUUCUAUUCUCAGGCACAUGACCUUGUGUUUGUAUGCAUUGAUUCUCAGUCAAAGGUGAGCUUCUGUCAACCUCUGGCUUUGAGCAAGAUGAGAGAGCACAUUGACAAUGAGCAAUGCUCAUUGACUUUAAAUAAAUAAUAUCACUUUUAGACUGGAUUGCAGUGGCUCCUGAGCUUGCUGGGAGCAAAGUCCACUUUAUAAGCUCCAGCUGAAGCUAAAAUGAACAGUUUGAAGUGCUCCUUUGCAUCAAGUCUGUCUUCUCAAUAUAAAAGAGAAUGAAGAAAACGAGCAAGAGAAAUGUUUUAGGUUCCCAUGCAGAAGACAAGGAGUGCAAUCUCCCUCUCAUUUUCUCUUCUGGUCAGGUUGUUCUGUUCAAGACACGAUACAGAGCCAACUGAGAGCUGAGCAAUUCCCGUUUCUCAGAGGUGAAAAGGUCUGAACAGAAAGGGCCAUCAGAAAUGGCAAGAUACCAAGUGAGACAUAUUGAGUACCAAAUGAACCAUAGGCUCCCUCACCUCCUGUGUGCUCAGUCCUCUGCCUGCUGAAGUGAAACGGGGUAGUGUUGAAACACUGAAAUACACUGACCAUUUAAGCCCCAAAUCUUAUGCUGAGGGGACUGCGCACCCCAGGCUGAUAGGUGAGUACUCCUCAGCAUGCCAGGGCUCUGUUAAAGUGAAGCCAGGAACUGCUUCACUUUAAGUAAGUGUAAGUACACUUACAAGUGUGCUUAUAAGGUCAGCCCCUCUUCCUGUAAGGAAUACAGUUCUGUGCUGACUUAUUAAGGAGGAGAACCACAGGGUUUGUUGUAAUGUUACUGGUUAACAAAGUUCAAGGGGGAAAAAGGGCAAUAGGGAUGGGAUGAUGAUGAGAAAUAGCCUGAGCAGCAGUAGUUGUGACCUCCCAGGCCAACUGGGCUAAUGGGGAGGGAGGUUGCAGGAGCACAAAAAUGCUCACGUUAGACCAGGCUUUUCUGAUGAGCUGUUUACUUGCUCUGCUGAAUGCCUUUGGCCAGUUUUAACCUUGAGAGUAUGCCUGCCUCGUUCCCUGCUUUGAUCUCUUUCCUUCUGAGUCAAAACACAAAGAUGUUAUUAAGAUAAAUUAGUAAAAACAGCUCAGGAACUGGGUGGGAAAUGCUGAUCAUCUCCCCUGGAGAAAAAGUAAUCGCCAUGCUCAGUCAAUUCAGAGUAGGUAACAGCCCUGAAUGACUGCUUUGAAACAUGGGAAAACAACGGUGCUCUAUGAAUUGAUUGUAUUUGGCCUAAUAAUAGAAGACCUUUGGAGGGAGUGCUAGGAAUGUGCGGUCCUGAACAGGCUAGCAUGGGCUGACUAACCUUCAUGCUGUAACAUUAAAUGCCUUCUGUCUGUGCAGGCCUGGUUUCAUUAAUUGUCAUAAGCAAAGGAGUGGAAAUGCUCUGGAGAAAAAUGCUGUAUAAAGUCUAGUAAAGGAAAACACUUGGGAGUGUCUGAAUUAUGUGGCAAUUUCCAUUUGAGAGCAGCCCUCAGGAAUGAUUUGUUCUUGAGCAAAAUGAAUGAAAGGUACCGUUUGGGCUUUUUGUGCAUGCAGUGCCUCUGUGCUGAGAUAACAGACCCAUUUGGGAGCUCGUAGGUUAAGCUGGUUAACUUGAGCAAUUAGAGAUGACAAAUACCCUGAAAAGAGAAGAUGAGUUCAAGAGUUGUUCUGAAGACAGAGAAGAUUAAUAGCAUCAGGCCUGAUGAAAAGCUGCGUUCCAGAGAUCAGUGGAUAGAAGGCCUAAGCAUCUGCAUCAGAAAACUUGUGCUGUAGAGAGUAGUGUAGAGUAACUGUGCUUUUCCCAGAAGGAUGCUGAUGAAAAGCACACCAUCCCAAUGUUCACUUCCAGAACAUGAUUGCCUUGUAGUAGAAAAUGGGAGUAAGGAAGGAUUUUGGCUGUCACACUUUGAACAAAGUGCAUCCAAAUAUCUUCCUAAAAAGAUUGUCAUCGCACAUUCAAAAUACCCAGCAUAGAGAUAUGGAGUACUUGUCUGAUUGCCUCUGGGAAUGGAGUUUAUCAGCUCUUACCUAGCUCUCACGUGCUGCCAUCCUGGACGACAAAAUGUAGCUGGAAAUGAAGAUGUCAUUUGAGAAGUAUGAAUUUUCAUUUCUCAGUCUCUCUACCCUUCCCCUGCCCCAAAGGUUUAUGUGGCCUGCAAGCAUCUUCACAUCUGAAGAAUAUCUUUACAACAUCUAUCACCUUGCUGAACGCAAAGGAAAAGAUGAGUCCCCUAUUGCUAAGCAGAGAUGGCAACUCCAUGGUAAUUAUGCUGAGGAUCCAUGUGUGUACUCUUAAAAAGAACUUUAGUAUAUUCAACACAUCUACCUAAUAACAUUAAAUUAUUUCUGGUUUUGCUGUACUUACCAUUUACUGUAAAAAUGUACAGAUGAUCACGUAAUGACAGAAAAUGUAGUUUAAUAAAAGGAUUGAAGCUACCUACGA